CUGCUCGUGAUUUUGCCGUCCGCCAUUACCGCUUCGAACGUGAAGACCAUCUGUGGCCCAGGACAUUGCUUUUAGAUAAGAUUUUUGGAUGAGCAGAAAUGGCAGUCAAAAGGCCAGCCAAGUUGCGGGUUAUUCUGAAUCCUGAUGACACCAGAAAGCUAAUUCUGCCUGAUGGAAUUCCAGAGUCAAUGGAGCAGCUUAUGGAUGAAGUCAAGAACGUGUGUGGGCUAAGUGACAAUUUUAGACUGCAGUACCAAGACAGAGACUUUGGAGAUGCACUAGUUAACUUGACAUCUACUGCCGAACUUGAAGAUUU